UCCCGAAUACCCGUUUAUUUGGCCCAAAUAUUACACAAAACCCAUAUUCUAUUCAUCCAUUCUCACCCAAAAACCCUAGACAACUUCUCCUCUCCCGUUCAUCCAUCUGCCACAACCUAACUUCUCCUCUCAAAUCUCUAAUGUCGACGAUGGUUUAAGCACCAUAUUCGCUGUUGCGCAUCAUCCUAACCCACCAUUUCCGCCGCUGUGCAUCGUCCAAUCCCACCAUGGCCGCCGCUACACAUUCUCCAAACCCUAUAUCUGAUACCGUAGCACUCUAGAUAGAAGAUCAAUCGAAUGGAUGAAACGAGGGAGUGCGUGGAAGACGAUUAGUCCUAUUUUGUAAUCUACCAAAUUCUUCGUCAAUCGCUCGAUUCCUCUAAUUACAGAAUGGAGCAAGAAAUGAUUGAGAUAAAUUCAAACAAAAUGCUGGCAUGCUAAUGUAUAUGCAAGUGUCACUUAAUGAGGGCUUCUUAGACCCUUUUUCCCGCUCAAUGCUGGAAAUAUGGGAACUGGGUUAUGUAACCGGGUCAUACGGCAAAACCUGAAGAGGGAAAAUGUGGAUCGAGAACAACAAAAAUUCAGGUGGAUCCUAAUACAAAGAGGUUAAAUUUACAAGUUGUAAGUGUUGAAGUUGACAAUAUAGGAGCAGUGAGGUUCGUUUAAUAUACCAUUAUUUUGUCAAUAUUUGGAAUGUCAAUAACCCAUGCACAAAUACGAGCCAAAGUUGAUAAAAAUGACGGGGAGACUAAAGUUGUGAGAUUGUAUGCUUUCAUAUGGGAAGGGGAUGCGGCAGCUAAGUGACAAACGAGCUAAGACUCUCCAUUCAUUUAUAUUGUUGAAGCAUUUUAAUUAAAAAAAGUUACAACGGGUCAUUUCCUAAUUCAAAAAUACAAAAAUGGAAAAAUGGAAAACUAUUUCUCAACGUGUUUAAGAUCAAAACAUGUCAGUGCUUUUAUAUGUAUCCGGAUUAUAUUUGUAGAUUCACUUUGUCACUGGACUUAUGUAAUAUAUUUAACUUUUUGUUAUA